AUACGGAGGGUGCAAGCGUUGUUCGGAAUUACUGGGCGUAAAGGGCGCGUAGGUGGUUGUGUAAGUCAGAUGUGAAAUCCCGAGGCUCAACCUUGGAACUGCAUCUGAUACUGCAUGACUCGAGUACAGCAGAGGGAAACGGAAUUCCUGGUGUAGAGGUGAAAUUCGUAGAUAUCAGGAGGAACACCGGUGGCGAAGGCGGUUUCCUGGGCUGAUACUGACACUGAGGCGCGAAAGCGUGGGGAGC
rnacentral:rRNA from 1 species